UGGGGAAUAUUGGACAAUGGGCGCAAGCCUGAUCCAGCCAUGCCGCGUGAGUGACGAAGGCCUUAGGGUUGUAAAGCUCUUUUGGCGGGGAAGAUAAUGACGGUACCCGCAGAAUAAGCUCCGGCUAACUUCGUGCCAGCAGCCGCGGUAAUACGAAGGGAGCUAGCGUUGUUCGGAAUCACUGGGCGUAAAGCGCACGUAGGUGGGCAGUUAAGUCAGGGGUGAAAGCCCGAGGCUCAACCUCGGAAUUGCCUCUGAUACUGGCUGUCUAGAGUUCGAGAGAGGUGAGUGGAAUUCCUAGUGUAGAGGUGAAAUUCGUAGAUAUUAGGAAGAACACCGGUGGCGAAGGCGGCUCACUGGCUCGAUACUGACACUGAGGUGCGAAAGCGUGGGGAGCAAACAGGAUUAGAUACCCUAGUAGUCCCUGAGCGGGCUGGCAAGGCGCAU
rnacentral:rRNA from 1 species